rnacentral:rRNA from 1 species
UACGUAGGGGGCGAGCGUUGUCCGGAAUCACUGGGCGUAAAGGGUUCGCAGGCGGUCUAUCAAGUCCGAUGUGAAAGGCAUAGGCUUAACCUAUGUAAGCAUUGGAAACUGGUGGACUUGAGUUAAGGAGAGGUAAGUGGAAUUCCUAGUGUAGCGGUGAAAUGCAUAGAUAUUAGGAAGAAUACCGGUGGCGAAGGUGACUUACUGGACUUAUACUGACGCUGAGGAACGAAAGCGUGGGGAGCAAACAGGAUUAGAUACCCGGGUAGUCCCUGAGCGGG